rnacentral:rRNA from 1 species
GGCCCGGGGGGGCUAAUACAUGCAAGUCGAGCGCAGGAAACUGACGGAACUCUUCGGAGGGAAGGCAGUGGAAUGAGCGGCGGACGGGUGAGUAACACGUAAGGAACCUGCCUCAAGGAUUGGGAUAACUCCGAGAAAUCGGAGCUAAUACCGGAUAGUUCAACGGACCGCAUGGUCCGCUGAUGAAAGGCGCUCCGGCGUCACCUUGAGAUGGCCUUGCGGUGCAUUAGCUAGUUGGUGGGGUAACGGCCCACCAAGGCGACGAUGCAUAGCCGACCUGAGAGGGUGAUCGGCCACACUGGGACUGAGACACGGCCCAGACUCCUACGGGAGGCAGCAGUAGGGAAUCUUCCACAAUGGACGAAAGUCUGAUGGAGCAACGCCGCGUGAGUGAUGAAGGUUUUCGGAUCGUAAAACUCUGUUGUAAGGGAAGAACACGUACGAGAGGGAAUGCUCGUACCUUGACGGUACCUUACGAGAAAGCCACGGCUAACUACGUGCCAGCAGCCGCGGUAAUACGUAGGUGGCAAGCGUUGUCCGGAAUUAUUGGGCGUAAAGCGCGCGCAGGCGGCCUUUUAAGUCUGAUGUGAAAGCCCCCGGCUCAACCGGGGAGGGCCAUUGGAAACUGGAAGGCUUGAGUACAGAAGAGAAGAGUGGAAUUCCACGUGUAGCGGUGAAAUGCGUAGAGAUGUGGAGGAACACCAGUGGCGAAGGCGACUCUUUGGUCUGUAACUGACGCUGAGGCGCGAAAGCGUGGGGAGCAAACAGGAUUAGAUACCCUGGUAGUCCACGCCGUACACGAUGAGUGCUAGGUGUUGGGGGGUUUCCGCCCCUCAGUGCUGAAGCUAACGCAUUAAGCACUCCGCCUGGGGAGUACCGCCGCAAGGCUGAAAACUCAAAGGGAAUUGACGGGGGACCCGCACAAGCGGUGGAAGCAUGUGGUUUUAAUUCGAAGCAACGCGAAAGAACCUUACCAACUCUUGACAUCCCAUUGACCGCUUGGAAAAAUCAAGUUUUCCCUUCGGGGACAAUUGGUGAACAGGGGGUGCAUGGUUGUCCGUCCCCUCCCGGUCCGGGGAAAUGUUGGGUUUAAGUCCCCGCAAACGGGGGGCCAAACCCCCUAUUCCUUAGUUGCCAGGCAUUUGGGUUGGGCCCCCCCUAGGGGGAACUGCCGGUGGAACAAAACCGGAGGGAAAGGGGGGGGAAUUAAGGGCAAAAUUCCCCAGGGCCCCCUAAAG